GAAAAGUUAGUUUAAUCAAAAUAUUAACUUGUCAAGUUAAAGAAAUUUCUUAAUACUUUUCU
rnacentral:tRNA from 1 species